AGUGAACGCUGGCGGUAGGCCUAACACAUGCAAGUCGAACGGCAGCACAGUAAGAGCUUGCUCUUACGGGUGGCGAGUGGCGGACGGGUGAGGAAUACAUCGGAAUCUACUUUUUCGUGGGGGAUAGCGUAGGGAAACUUACGCUAAUACCGCAUACGACCUACGGGUGAAAGCAGGGGAUCUUCGGACCUUGCGCGAUUGAAUGAGCCGAUGUCGGAUUAGCUAGUUGGCGGGGUAAAGGCCCACCAAGGCGACGAUCCGUAGCUGGUCUGAGAGGAUGAUCAGCCAGACUGGAACUGAGACACGGGCCAGACUCCUACGGGAGGCAGCAGUGGGGAAGAUUGGACAAUGGGCGCAAGCCUGAUCCAGCCAUACCGCGUGGGUGAAGAAGGCCUUCGGGUUGUAAAGCCCUUUUGUUGGGAAAGAAAAGCAGCAGGUUAAUACCCCGCUGUUCUGACGGUACCAAAAGAAUAAGCACCGGCUAACUUCGUG
rnacentral:rRNA from 1 species